UACGGAGGAUGCGAGCGUUAUCCGGAUUUAUUGGGUUUAAAGGGUGCGCAGGCGGCACGGCAAGCCGGCGGUCCAAUCGCGGGGCUCAACCCCGCCCAGCCGUCGGAACUGCCGGGCUAGAGUGGGCGAGAAGUGCGCGGAAUGCGUGGUGUAGCGGUGAAAUGCAUAGAUAUCACGCAGAACUCCGAUUGCGAAGGCAGCGCACCGGCGCCCUACUGACGCUCAGGCACGAAAGCGUGGGUGUCGAACAGG
rnacentral:rRNA from 1 species